rnacentral:rRNA from 1 species
AACGUAGGAGACAAACGUUAUUCGGAGUUACUGGGCGUAAAGGGCGUGUAGGUGGUUUUGUAAGUUCGGCGUGAAAUCUCUCGGCUUAACCGGGAGUGGUCGUCGGAUACUGCAAGACUAGAGGACGGUAGAGGCGUGUGGAAUUCCGGGUGUAGUGGUGAAAUGCGUAGAGAUCCGGAGGAACACCAGUGGCGAAGGCGACACGCUGGGCCGUACCUGACACUGAGGCGCGAUAGCGUGGGGAGCAAACAGG